AUCUUCUACUGCGAGGAUCAUUGAAACCAUAAGGCUGCUUCAGAAGUAAUGGGCCCACUUUUUUUGGGAAAAAGCUUGGUGUACUUCCUCUUCCUUUGUUGAUAACAAACUGCCCCAGUCAACAAAAGCCAGGAUGCAGUGUCUAUCACUCCAGACAUCAGUCCCUGGACAAGAUUGUCAAAGAGGUCUGAACCCACCCAUCACAGCAGUGACAGAGCUCUAUCUGAGCCAAUCAGAAACUGCGUAACGAGAUACUCCCUGACCUUUGACUCCCACAGCACCGGGUCAGUUCCAUGCCGGAUAUUCUGUGCUGGGACCAAUGAUAACCUGCUUAAUCGUCAUAAUCCACUGAACACAGGGACUAACUCACGCAAAAGGAAAUGGCCUUUGUUACUUUGUACCCUUGUCCUGGUCUGAGAAUGUCCACAAUGUAACCAAAGCUCAACACAAGAGGUGACACAUUAGACAGCCCAGUAACCAGGGUUGGGGUAAAAACUGGGAGUCGAUAUUUCUGUCCGCUAUCUGUCUGUGUCCACAGCUCCUGCUGGGUCUCAGAAGGUGUGCCAGAUAGUGUGUGUGUGUGAGUCCAUCUGCUGUUUGGCAAAGAGAAGUACAGACGUCACUUAAUGGAAUAAACACAUCAUUUGUACCAA